rnacentral:rRNA from 1 species
UGGCCCGACCUCCCAACCCUUUGUCUACUUGACCAUCGUUGCUUCGGCGAGCCCGUCCUCACGGACCGCCGGAGGGACCUUUACUGGCCCUCUGGUCCGCGCUCGUCGGUAGCCCAACCUUUAAAAUCUUUAACUAAACGUGCCUUAAUCUAAGUACAAUUAUUAAAUAAAAGCAAAACUUUCAACAACGGAUCUCUUGGUUCUGGCAUCGAUGAAGAACGCAGCGAAAUGCGAUAAGUAAUGCGAAUUGCAGAAUUCCAGUGAGUCAUCGAAUCUUUGAACGCACAUUGCGCCCUUUGGUAUUCCGAAGGGCAUGCCUGUUCGAGCGUCAUUAUCACCCCUCAAGCCCCUGGCUUGGUGUUGGACGGUUUGGUGGAGGUCCCCUCGGGGGCUCCUGCCCCUCCCAAAGACAAUGACGGCGGCCUCGUUGGACCCCCGGUACACUGAGUUCUUCACGGGACACGUAUCGGACACAUGGGUUUACGGGACACGGUCUGCCUCCCCUCAGGGAGAAUCUUUCUAAGGUUGACCUCGGAUCAGGUAGGGAUACCCGCUGAACUUAA